AACGCUAGCUACAGGCUUAACACAUGCAAGUCGAGGGGUAGCAGGGUAGCAAUACCGCUGACGACCGGCGCACGGGUGAGUAACACGUAUCCAACCUACUAUUCACACGGGGAUAGCCUUUCGAAAGAAAGAUUAAUACCCGAUAGUAUAACGAGAGGACAUCCUUUUGUUAUUAAAGAAUUUCGGUGUUUGAUGGGGAUGCGUUCCAUUAGAUUGUUGGUGAGGUAACGGCUCACCAAGUCUUCGAUGGAUAGGGGUUCUGAGAGGAAGGUCCCCCACAUUGGAACUGAGACACGGUCCAAACUCCUACGGGAGGCAGCAGUGAGGAAUAUUGGUCAAUGGGCGAGAGCCUGAACCAGCCAAGUAGCGUGAAGGACGAAGGCCCUAUGGGUCGUAAACUUCUUUUAUAGGGGAAUAAAGUUCGGGACGUGUCCCGUUUUGUAUGUACCCUAAGAAUAAGGAUCGGCUAACUCCGUGCCAGCAGCCGCGGUAAUACGGAGGAUCCAAGCGUUAUCCGGAUUUAUUGGGUUUAAAGGGAGCGUAGGUGGACAUAUAAGUCAGUUGUGAAAGUUUGCGGCUCAACCGUAAAAUUGCAGUUGAUACUGUAUGUCUUGAGUGUACUGGGGGUGGGCGGAAUUCGUGGUGUAGCGGUGAAAUGCUUAGAUAUCACGAAGAACUCCGAUUG
rnacentral:rRNA from 1 species